rnacentral:rRNA from 1 species
UACGUAGGUGGCGAGCGUUAUCCGGAAUUACUGGGCGUAAAGCGCAAGCAGGCGGCUCGUUAAGUUUGACGUAAAAUCUCCUGGCUUAACUGGGAGGGGUCGUUGGAGACUGGCGGGCUUGAGGCGAUGAGAGGGACAUGGAAUUCCCGGUGUAGUGGUGGAAUGCGUAGAGAUCGGGAGGAACACCAGAGGCGAAAGCGGUGUCCUGGCAUUGGCCUGACGCUCAUGUGCGAAAGCGUGGGGAGCGAACGGGAUUAGAUACCCCGGUAGUCCACGCCGUAAACGAUGAGUACUGGGUGUAGGUGGGGUUAGAGCCAUCUGUGCCGAAGCAAACGCGAUAAGUACUCCGCCUGGGGAGUACGGCCGCAAGGCUAAA